AAUGAACGCUGGCGGCGUGCUUAACACAUGCAAGUCGAGCGAGAAAGCUCCUUCGGGAGUUAGUAAAGCGGCGGACGGGUGAGUAAUACGUAAGAAUCUACCCUUCAGUGAAGAAUACCCUCAAGAAAUUGAGGUUAAUGCUGCAUACGUCCCUUCGGGGAGAAAAAUGGCCUCUUUGCUGUUGCUGAAGGAUGAGCUUACGCGCUAUUAGCUUGUUGGUGAGGUAACUGCUCACCAAGGCGAUGAUGGCUAGCCGGCCUGAGAGGGUGUACGGCCACACUGGAACUUAGACACGGUCCAG
rnacentral:rRNA from 1 species